rnacentral:rRNA from 1 species
GACGAACGCUGGCGGCGUGCUUAACACAUGCAAGUCGAACGAAGUGGCGAACGGGGGAGUAAUACGUGGGUAACCUGCCCUCCUUUUUGGGAUAAGCCUUGGAAACGGGGUCUAAUACCGAAUAAAGGGGGGUGGGCUCGCGGCCGAUCAGCUUGUUGGUGGGGUGAUGGCCGAACAAGGCGGUGCCGGGUAGCGGGACUGAGAGGGUGACCGGGCACAUGGGGACGGACCUGCGGCCCAGAGGAGGACGGGAGGGGGCAGUGGGGGAUAUGGCCGAAUGGGCGAAAGCCUGAUGCAGCGAGGGCGCGGGGGGGAUGCGGGUUUUCGGGUUGUAAACCUCUUGAGGUAUCGAACGGGUAGGUGGAGAAGAAGCGCCGGCUAACUACGUGCCAGCAGCCGCGGUAAUUC